rnacentral:rRNA from 1 species
UACGUAGGGGGCUAGCGUUGUCCGGAUUUAUUGGGCGUAAAGAGCGUGUAGGCGGCCAGGUAGGUCCGGUGUGAAAACUCGAGGCUUAACCUCGAGAUGUCAUCGGAAACCAUCUGGCUAGAGUCCGGAAGAGGAAAGUGGAAUUCCUGGUGUAGCGGUGAAAUGCGCAGAUAUCAGGAAGAACACCAAUGGCGAAGGCGGUUCUCUGGGAAUGUUCUGACGCUGAGGAGCGAAAGUGUGGGGAGCGAACAGG